ACUCCUACGGGAGGCAGCAGUAGGGAAUCUUCCACAAUGGACGAAAGUCUGAUGGAGCAACGCCGCGUGAACGAUGAAGGCCUCGGUCGUAAGUUACUGUUGUAAGGGAAGAACAAGUGCCGCAGGCAAUGGCGGCACCUUGACGGUACCUUGCGAGAAAGCCACGGCUAACUAACGUGCCAGCAGCCGCGGUAAUACGUAGGUGGCAAGCGUUGUCCGGAAUUAUUGGGCGUAAAGCGCGCGCAGGCGGCCUCUUAAGUCUGAUGUGAAAGCCCCGGCUCAACCGGGGGAGGGCCAUUGGAAACUGGGAGGCUUGAGUAUAGGAGAGAAGAGUGGAAUUCCACGUGUAGCGGUGAAAUGCGUAGAGAUGUGGAGGAACACCAGUGGCGAAGGCGACUCUUUGGCCUAUAACUGACGCUGAGGCGCGAAAGCGUGGGGAGCAAACAGGAUUAGAUACCCUGGUAGGAUAGCG
rnacentral:rRNA from 1 species